rnacentral:rRNA from 1 species
AGUGAACGCUGGCGGCAGGCCUAAUACAUGCAAGUCGAACGGCAGCACAGCAGAGCUUGCUCUGUGGGUGGCGAGUGGCGGACGGGUGAGGAAUACAUGGGAAUCUGCCCAGUCGUGGGGGAUAACGUAUGGAAACGUACGCUAAUACCGCAUGCGCCCUACGGGGGAAAGCCGGGACCGCAAGGCCUGGCGCGAUUGGAUGAGCCCAUGUUCGAUUAGCUAGUUGGCGGGGUAAAGGCCCACCAAGGCGACGAUCGAUAGCUGGUCUGAGAGGACGAUCAGCCACACGGGAACUGAGAAACGGUCCCGACUCCUACGGGGGGCGAGCAGUGAGGAAUAUUGGGCAAUGGACGAAAGUCUGACCCAGCAACGCCGCGUGGAGGAUGAAGGUUUUUGGAUUGUAAACUCCUUUUGUGGGGGAAGAGUGAGGACGGUACCCCAAGAAUAAGUCACGGCUAACUACGUGCCAGCAGCCGCGGUAAGGAGCUGUCGU